UGGACAGAUUAUUGUAUUCGACUUUAUUCACAGCGUGAAACUAGGGAUUACACUGUUUUUAAACGAAAAGUGAAUCAAUUAACAUAAUAUACUCCU
rfam:Nicotiana attenuata strain TT chromosome 10, whole genome shotgun sequence.